ensembl:lncRNA
CCUCUUGCAGCCCCAACGUGCUGCAGCCCCAAGCGGCCACGGAGAAGGGCACAGCCGGUCGAUGGUAUUUGGCCGGGUCCUCUGUGUGCUUGGACAUCCCCCUGCCUGUCCAGCCUUGCUGCUGGAUACGUGACCCCAGCCUGUGCUGCAAGCCCCGCUCCCCGUUCCAGCCCAGCGAGGCACCUGCUUUUCUGGCCCAACCAGACUCCACGGCAGCCAGGUCGGGAGUCUGGGUGUGAUGGUAUGAGCACACGGUGCCCUUCCCUGAAGCUCCCGCCUGCUCACAGCUCAGUCUUGUCCUGCUCCCGGAGCCUGCCGGCACCCUCGAGAGUGGAGCAGGACGUGGGAAGGGAGAAGUCGUGGCUGAGCAGGGCUGGAGAGAUGCAGCUCUACAAGGACAUCCAUCUCCUGCACUGCCCAUUCCCGAGCCAAAGGGGCUGAGCUAGUCAGAGCCUUCCCAGCCCCGGAGAGGUGCUUGCUGCUGAGGAACUGCUUACUUUGGCCUCAACUGAGAGGCCUCAGCCCAGGGUAAAGCAGCCCCAAACACUGCCCUGUUUGUGCUUCGGGAAGGGGCGUUUGUGGCUGUCCUGUCACGGUGGGAGCAGGCGAAAGAGCUGAAGGUUGUUUUCACCCCAGUGCCUGCCACAGGGGAUUCUCCAAACAGGAUCCCACCUCAUCCAGAUACGUGCAGAGCAGCAGGUCAGAUUCCCUGGAUCAGGUCUGUGUUCUGGUCCCAGGGAAUCCUGGGCCACCAGCAGUGUGUGAGCCAGGAGGUGCAUCCCCUGUGCAGCGAUGUCCUUGCUGUGGGCAGCCCGUGACACCGAGGGAUGCUCCUGGGCCCCUCCGGCACAGCUCCUGCUCACAGCCUCACCACCCAGCCCCCUGAGCCCUCCUGUCCUCCACAGCAUCUUCCACCGCCCAGGAAACCUUCUUGCAAGCUCAGGCUGGACAUUAUGGAAGCACUAGAAGCUCCUGGUAGGAAUGUCACUGGUAUCAGUAUCCAAGCUCCCUGUCCCAGGGCACAACCUGCCCUAUGGAGAGGAUCCUGCCCCAGGAUGCAAGCUGGAAAUUUGCUGCAGACCCCAUAGAUGCAUCCCCAGGUGGAUGGCCCCUACUCAGGACAGAGAGGACCUAAAUGCUGGCAGUGGCCUCUGCACUGGUGUCACAGCACUGAGCCGAGAUGCUGCUGAAGGUUGUACCCAGAACACCUGCCAGCCGGGCUAGGAGAAGGUGGGUCCCUUCUUGAAGCCAUUUUCUAUCCAUUCCCAAGCACUGGCUGUAGGAAAUGGUGUUUUCUGCCAUGCAGAGGCUUCGUGGUUCUGAAACAGGGCCGGGAGAUGCUGAGGCUUCCCGCUGUACCCUGCCUGGGCAUCCCUGCUGGAGCAAUCACUUAAUCUCCUGUUUCUAGGCAAAGUCGAAAUUUGAAUGAAGCCACAUGAAAUGAGCAAAUCAAAUACAAAUGUUUUCAAAAGUGGCAUUCCCAUCUCAAUUCAUUUUCUUCAUCUUACUUAAAGUUUGGACUUUCAGUGUUUGAGCCAGGUGGAGGAGACCUGGACCUGGCUUUGCCCUCCACGAGCCACGCCAGGGGCUGUCCUAGGUGGUCCUGGCUGUGGCUCCAUCCGUGCUUUUUGGAGCUGUGGCACUGUGCCACCUGUGCCAGAUUUCAAGGCUCUUCCAGGCAGGACUGGGGCUGGCAGGAGAUCUGAGCAGUCGCUCUCCUGCACCAGGUCACACGGCCCCUGCUGGAUGUCACCGUGUCCCGCUGUCCCUCCCUGCCAGACGCUCCUCGGCGCCAGCCCACGUUAAUUAACCCUAACGAGGCUCCGUGCACAGCCAGGACUUCGGUGAUCCGGGAAUCUGCAGCUGGAUCAGCUGGUCACUGUGACCGCGGUCACAGCCCGGCAUGGCGUCCCUCGGGAUUUUAAAGGAGUGGGAGCGAGAAUCAGCGUCCAUGCAGGGGGAUGUCCGGGACCCACGUUUGGGACCGCAGAGGCACAGCCCAUGUAUCAGAGACAGUUUGCUGAGUGACGAAAGAGCAAUUAUCAACUCAGCUGGAGGCAGAGUUGCUCCUGUUUGAUUUUCCAAGGAAAAUUAUUCCAACUUCUUUCCCCGCCUCUGCGCCCCCCCCCCCCCCCCCAGCUUGUUUCCUUUCAGUGAGAAUCACAGAAGAAAUAAAAGAAAUCGAGGAUUUUUUAAAGUUUUAUGC